rnacentral:lncRNA from 1 species
GAUCCCACUGUACGGUACUUUGUCAAAUUGAUAGAGCAAGCUAAUGCAUGUGAAACAUUAGCGUUCAAUAUAUGGUGUACGUAUCUUGCAGGUCAUGAGGUAAAGUGCGCUCGUGUCAACAGAGACUCCACCAUCUGACGCUAAUAUAGUAGCUCAUUUGUUUGGCAGUUUCUCAAGAAAAUAUGACUUUUGGGGUCUGGUUGUGAAAUCUUGGUUUCAUUUCAAGAAAUUGGUGCUAAUGUGUUUUAAAUAAAGGUGUCAAGACAUCUCUGAUGCUUAUGGAGUUUGAUACUGACAACAUUUAUUAAGUGGAUGUUACGUACAUGAAGGACUGAACUGUUAUAGUACUUGAUAAUUAAUUAUAUAUAUAUAUAAUGUAAGGGUUUAUUUGCAAUAUUAGACAUUACUAUGAAAACAAGCACCCUUGAAUUAUUUUGCUUAAAUCAGGCAUAUUUAAAGUUUGGGAAUUAAUAGCAGUGGUGAACAUAUUUCAGAAAAAGUUAAAGCAUUUGCAAUGAAAUUUUCAGGACACACAAUGAAGUUUAAAAGUCGAAAAGGCUUGGCUAACUCGUUAGACAAGCUACUCAAAUUUAAAUGUGAUUAUUGUGAAAAAGCAUUUGCGAGAAAGUGUAGUCUUGAUGAGCACAUUCUGUCCCACACUGGAGAGAAACCUUUCCCUUGUGCGUGGUGUGACAAGACGUACAAGACUUAUCGUUCACUAAAAUCACAUUGGAAGGUGCAUGGACGUAAGAACUGUGUUAGAUGCCCAAAAUGUGAUCAAAUUUUUUAUUCUAAGAUUGAUAUGUUAAGACAUAAAAUGACUCAUAAUACUACUAACCACAUCUGUAAAGUGUGUUCAAAGAAAUUCAAAAGUAAAAAGCGUUACAUCAGGCAUGGGUGUCCAUUUGAAUGUGAGCAGUGCGGUAGGUGGUUUGAUCAAUAUAUGAAGUAUUUAUCUCAUAGAAGAAAACAACAUCAAGCUCCAAGCACUGACUUUAAUAAUUAUAAAAAAUCAGGCAAAAUUUCCAUUGUAGUAAAUAAUAACUUAAUUACUGAUUUUAACGACUCUGUUAGCAUGAAAAGCAAGACAGUUUACGGAGAUGAACAGCAUGAAUGUAGGUUGUGUUAUAAAGAGUUCUGUGAUGAGAUUUCUUUAAUUCUUCACAUUAAUGUACAUGGUGAUGGUGAUCCCUGCAAGUGUAUGGUCUGUGGGUUAACAUUUCCAACAGAAAUUGUCCGUACUUAUCAUCACAUGAGGCAACACACUGGUGACAUCAAUUGGCAGAAUCUUGAAAGUGGCAAAAAAGUCUUUGAAAGCGUUUACCAUUUGCAUUUCUAAACUGAAGUGUAAAACUGAUGAUAUAAGUCCUAAGAUAUGCACAAAAAAUCUUUUGGAGCAACGUGAUAGAAUUGAACUCGUGUCUCGGGUCACCCUCGAUGCACUCGCUACCCAAAAGAUUUUCUCAUAUAUAUCGUGCUACUGUAUUGUGAUUUAUUGAGGAAGAUAUGUUUUGGUGAGCCUUGCUUCUAGAUUUUUUUGUACUCUUUACCCCACGGUGUUCAUUUCCCCUGUGUUCUUUUCCUCCUGUGUUCUUUUCCCUCUGUGCCUAUUGCUCCUUGUUCUUGUUGCCCCUUGUGCUUGUUUUCCUCUGUGCUCUUUCCCCCCCCCCCACCCCCUGUGCUUGGUUUCCCUCUGUGCUUCUUUACUCUCAUUAUGCUCUAUAAUUCUGAAGCACUUUCUUAGGACUAGUUAGCGUGGUUUAGAACAAACGGUAAAAAGUGUACGAGUGUAAAGUUUAAAUAUUUUGGCUCUGAUAAUGUGUGUAUUAAAGUAUUAUUUAAUUUGCAUUUCUUUAAUAAAUUUUAGCGCGCACACAUAAUGUUUUUAGGAAUGAUUUGACUAGGUCUAAUUGGAAAUACUAUAACCAUUGCCAAAUAUCCAGAGUCAAUAUUUAUAUUGUCUGAAAGUCAGUCUUCAUAUAAUAUUAUCAUCCAGAAUGUUACUACUGCCUAUAUUACUAAUACUGUAUAUACAUAAUUAUAUUGUCAUUAGGUGAAGUUAAUGAAUAAUAGAGAAAAUGUAAAUUAUAUUUAACAUUAGGCUAUAAAGACAGUUUUCAUAUUGAAAGCAUACAUGUAAUAUAUUUAAUAAAAUAUUAUAUGUUUAUUUAUAAAGUUGACAAAUUAAGAAAGCUAAAUUGUUAAGGAUAUACUGUACUGGCAUUGUAAACACAGGUAACUUUCCUGACACAGGGGUCAAGCAAUAACUAAUUUAUGUAGGGCAAAUUUCCUUACAAUUAGAUUCUAAAAUUAUUUGUAACAUACUGUAUUAGAUAAAAUAUAUCUUUUAACAUCAUAAUCUAAUGGUAUUGAGUAUUAUAAAACUCAUUAGACUGUGGUAAAUGCAAACGGAAUGCCUUAACCUAACCUACUCUUAGAGUGUAGGUAGUUCUAUUCACCAUAUAUGAUAAAUACAAAUACUGUACUGUACAGUUUUGUUAUUUCCAGAUGGAUGUUUGUGGUAUUCUCAGAACAGUGAUGAAGGUUCUCUUUUUAUCAUAAUUAGCUCAUUUCUAACUUCUGUGGGGUGUCGUGAUAAAAUUCUAGAGAAGAUGGGAGUGGAGGGUAGGAAUUCGCAAAAUUGUCUCGACCAUUCACUGUAUCUUUCUUACUAUGGCAAACCGGCACUGUCAUACUCCAGCAUCACUUGAGAAUGACUGUGCUGGGAUUAUCAGUUGCUGAUUAAUGCAUAAUUGGCAAAGUUCCCUCUUUUGUGAACAUAUAUUUUCACUCAAUUGUAGAUAUGUUUAGAAGAAGUGAUUUCAUCUUCUAUGCCACCUGUGUAACCAUCAUUUGACUAGUAAUGACUUGAGAAUCUCUUGGGACAUAUUUGUGUAUACUGUGUGUGUGUUUAUUUACUAUUUAUGGAUGCAGAAUCGAGCUGUUGGCUCUUGGAUGUGUGUGUGUGUGUAAUUACCUAAGUGUAUUUACAGGAUGAGAGCUACGCUUGUGGUGUCCCGUCUUCCCAAUACUCUUUGUCAAAUAACUCUUUGAAAUCACUGAUGGUUUUUCCCUCCACCACCUUCUCACUUAACUUGUUUAAAUUUUCUAUCACUCUGCAAAAGAAAACUUUCUAAUAUUUUAGAAAGCUACCAUGUGUGUGUGUGUGUACACCAGCCAACCUGUGAACAUGCUUAGAAGUAAAUAAUGCACAUGUAAAUACAGUAUAUACAUACAUUGCUGGAAAUAUUGAGUAAUGAACGCUCUAAUGAAUUUUGUUACUUUUACUUAAGAUAAAACAACCAUGGAUUUGA